rnacentral:rRNA from 1 species
CUGGCUCAGGAUGAACGCUAGCUACAGGCUUAACACAUGCAAGUCGAGGGGCAGCAUUGGAGUAGCAAUACUCAGAUGGCGACCGGCGCACGGGUGAGUAACACGUAUCCAACCUGCCGCUUACUCGGGGAUAGCCUUUCGAAAGAAAGAUUAAUACCCGAUGGUAUAAAGAGUUCGCAUGUUCUCUUUAUUAAAGAAUUUCGGUAAGCGAUGGGGAUGCGUUCCAUUAGAUUGUUGGCGGGGUAACGGCCCACCAAGUCUACGAUGGAUAGGGGUUCUGAGAGGAAGGUCCCCCACAUUGGAACUGAGACACGGUCCAAACUCCUACGGGAGGCAGCAGUGAGGAAUAUUGGUCAAUGGACGAGAGUCUGAACCAGCCAAAGUAGCGUGAAGGAUGACUGCCCUAUGGGUUGUAAACUUCUUUUAUAAGGGAAUAAAGUGAGGGACGUGUCCCUUUUUGUAUGUACCUUAUGAAUAAGGAUCGGCUAACUCCGUGCCAGCAGCCGC